UCAGUACAUCAACAUGCUUAAAAAAGAAAGAUACCACUACAUCUCAAAUCUAUUGGAGGGCAACUCCUCCGUUAGCCACCAUUGUCUCAUAUCGACUGAUCACUUAAACCCUAAGAACCAACAGAAUUAUAAGAAGAAGAAAAAAAGGCUCAUAAGGAGUCACCGUAAAAAAAACAACUUUUUACCCUGAACUUUGAGCUAUAUAUAUAUAUGUUACAAAUCAAAUCCUUGAUUUCAAAGGAUUGUUUCACCUACCUACAGAUGCUCAAGGCCUCAAAUCCUCAUUUAACCAGCCAUCAUUUCUCUGCUAAUGUGCCUGCAAGAAACCGUACACGGCUACACUGCUUCAACCUCAACACUGCGUCCUGAGUGUUUCCACGCACCAGAUCAAUAUAACUGAGACAGCCUCCUGUACAUGCCCUCCCAAGGUCACCUUCAGCUGCUGCCAUGUCUCCCAAGUAUCACCUAUAUAUAUAUAUAUAUAUUAUGACCUAUCACACUCGUUCAAUCAAAUAUGUCAAUGUAUAUAUUUUGUUAGAGUUUAUAUGCAUAUAAAAACGGCCAAAAUUAAGUUUAUUUUAACAUGAUCAAUUUGACUAUACAAGUUUUUCACUUUCUGGAAUUUCUCUCUGUUUUUCAUUUACUUUUGCUGCAUCUUCACCCCUUUAGCAAAAUCCAUUAAAGAAGAAGAAGAAGAAGAAGGAAUAAGCUUAUUAUUAUUAUCGAUCGACACAUGUUACGAAAGCGUUUUUUCCUUCAUUGUUACAUACAUGAUUAUCAAUUCACACUCGUUCGUUUGAAUUGGCCUACCUAUCUAUAUAUAUCUAAUAGUGAAGGUUGUGUUAGAUAUCCAACCGAUGUUCGCCCAGCAAUAAUCAAGAUCAAGGAUCCCUGUAGGAGGAGGAGACAAAUAUCUUGUUAACCCUAUGAUACCCGGUUACCGACAGUUGCAACAGAGUAACCUCUCCUUAAACAACAACAACAACAAGACCCAAUCCCUGGGCGGGGUAUGGGGGAGGUGAGAAUGUAGACAGUCUUACCUCUAUCCAAAGGUAGAGAGACUGCUUCCAAUAGGGACCUCCGGCCACAAAGAGAUGAAAAUCGAAGAGUGAAGAAAGUUCAGUUACCGUACCUGUCAUCCGAAAAUAGCGUAAGACUGUCUGAUGGGUAUCCCUGACAACAUUAAGAGUAGGGAAAAGUAGAACACAAGCUACCUCAUAACUUAAAGCAUAAGAUCAACAAUACACAUACAAUAGCAACCAUAAUGAACGAAGACAUUUUUAAAAGUGUUAUAGCACAAUAACCAUGCCUACAUGCAUAUAAAAAAGGAAGUAACUAAGAAAUUCUAGAGCCCUUGCACCUCCAUCUUAAUUCCUUUUAACAUAUGGUUCAACUUCAUUCUUACUAUCUUCCAUUAAGUGUUGGUUUUGUUAAUCAACAGGGGGUGCGAAACUAAGCCCUUGUAUGCACAAGUUACUUGAUGACUACGAUGAAACCCUGCUCACGUAUGCAUCCUGAGAUUUCUGCAUACAUGUUGGCACAUGGAGGUAAUUACUAGCUAGCUGCUCUAACGACAUUCUAGUACUCACGCUUCACUUUACCAUCGCAUUACUAAGGCUAUUCUGGUUAUCUGAAAUUACUAUCAUGUCUUGGUCAUGCCAAACUUAUCCUUACUCCUUCCAACUUCAUGUGACAACCUACCUGCUCCCCCCUUUUGGAAUAUGGACCCUUCAGCCGCAUCAUCGGACAUUGCUGAAGAAAAUAACCUACCUGAUCUUUGCCCGCCAUUUAAAAAUAUGAACCUUGAUUCAGCCCGAUCAUCGGACAUUGCUAGCAUUUCUGGUUAAACUUGAGGAGCAUAAACACGGCCUACCUUCCAAGCAGCCAACCAGGUUGCCUUGUUAUUAUCUUUGAUGCGUAAAUCAGAUGGAACCGGUUUCUUUUGUGUGAAGUGCUUUUGGAUGUUAACGUAAACACUUUUGAGUUUCUAUCUGAUGCAUGUCUUUCAACCCGGCCAACUGAUCGAUUUCUCUGUAAUUAAACUGAAUCUUAGACGUCCAAAUCUCGACCUGACACACAUAAGACCAAACUAAUUAAACCUCUGAUGUUCUUGCCUGCAACCUUUGUUACUUUUUUGGGGUUUUUAGUUUGACUGCUUAUUAUACCCGAGUGUUUGCCCAUCUAAUCACAACUGAAAUAUUUUGGACUGUGAUAACCCGGAUGUGUUCUCUAGCUACCAAGUCUGCUGUGGGGUCAAAUUGUCAUUCAUACCAAACUAUAUAAUUACAGCGCGCAGUUCCAUUUUAAGUAUUUGGUUUUUUAAUUAGUUUCUUUGGAUUUCCUUGCACCACAAUUACCAUGUUGUGAAUAAGUUCAUAACAUACCCGAUGUUCCUCGAUCUGGAAUAAACAUGCUAGUCCAUUUGGGCUCUGUACUACUUGCUUGUAACCAUUUCCAGUAGUCAUUUUGUUUAACCAACAUGUUAUUCCUCUUAUUGUAUAGGUGGGUCUGUAGUUUAUUAUCAAUUUGUUUCAACAUAUCUACAAGCCCUUGUAUUACAUUAGGGGACAACUAUGAUUCUGUAAAGUCUACGUGUCAGCUAUUAUGUAUUCGAUUUCAAAUUUGGACAUGAUUUAGAGCCACAAAAAAUUUUGUAUCAAAGGUUUAAACUGCAAUUGACGUACAGAAGACUUUAUCUCUUUUUUCCAAGA